AGCUACUAAGAGCGAAUGGUGGAUGCCUUGACUGGUAAAGGCGAUGAAGGACGUACUAGACUGCGAUAAGCUACGGGGAGCUGUCAAGAAGCUUUGAUCCGUAGAUUUCCGAAUGGGGCAACCCAAUGUAUAGAGAUAUACAUUACCUAUAUAGGAGCGAACGAGGGGAAUUGAAACAUCUUAGUACUCUCAGGAAAAGAAAUCAAUAGAGAUUGCGUCAGUAGCGGCGAGCGAAAGCGCAAGAGGGCAAACCCAGUGCUUGCACUGGGGGUUGUAGGACUGCAAUGUGCAAGAGGUAAGUUUAGCAGAACAUUCUGGAAAGUAUAACCAUAGAGGGUGAUAGUCCCGUAUGCGAAAAACAAACCUUAGCUAGCAGUAUCCUGAGUAGGGCGGGACACGAGGAAUCCUGUCUGAAUCCGGGUCGACCACGAUCCAACCCUAAAUACUAAUACCAGAUCGAUAGUGCACAAGUACCGUGAGGGAAAGGUGAAAAGAACUGAGGUGAUCAGAGUGAAAUAGAACCUGAAACCAUUUGCUUACAAUCAUUCAGAGCCCUAUGUAGCAAUACAGGGUGAUGGACUGCCUUUUGCAUAAUGAGCCUGCGAGUUGUGGUGUCUGGCAAGGUUAAGCAAACGCGAAGCCGUAGCGAAAGCGAGUCUGAAUAGGGCGCUUAGUCAGAUGCUGCAGACCCGAAACGAAGUGAUCUAUCCAUGAGCAAGUUGAAGCUAGUGUAAGAACUAGUGGAGGACUGAACCCAUAGGCGUUGAAAAGCCCCGGGAUGACUUGUGGAUAGGGGUGAAAGGCCAAUCAAACUUCGUGAUAGCUGGUUCUCUCCGAAAUAUAUUUAGGUAUAGCGUUGUGUCGUAAUAUAAGGGGGUAGAGCACUGAAUGGGCUAGGGCAUACACCAAUGUACCAAACCCUAUCAAACUCCGAAUACCUUAUAUGUAAUCACAGCAGUCAGGCGGCGAGUGAUAAAAUCCGUCGUCAAGAGGGAAACAACCCAGACUACCAGCUAAGGUCCCUAAAUCUUACUUAAGUGGAAAACGAUGUGAAGUUACUUAAACAACCAGGAGGUUGGCUUAGAAGCAGCCAUCCUUUAAAGAAAGCGUAAUAGCUCACUGGUCUAGUGAUUUUGCGCGGAAAAUAUAACGGGGCUAAAGUAAGUACCGAAGCUGUAGACUUAGUUUACUAAGUGGUAGGAGAGCGUUCUAUUUGCGUCGAAGGUAUACCGGUAAGGAGUGCUGGAGCGAAUAGAAGUGAGCAUGCAGGCAUGAGUAGCGAUAAUUAAUGUGAGAAUCAUUAACGCCGUAAACCCAAGGUUUCCUACGCGAUGCUCGUCAUCGUAGGGUUAGUCGGGUCCUAAGUCGAGUCCGAAAGGGGUAGACGAUGGCAAAUUGGUUAAUAUUCCAAUACCAACAUUAGUGUGCGAUGGAAGGACGCUUAGGGCUAAGGGGGCUAGCGGAUGGAAGUGCUAGUCUAAGGUCGUAGGAGGUUAUACAGGCAAAUCCGUAUAACAAUACUCCGAGAACUGAAAGGCUUUUUGAAGUCUUCGGAUGGAUAGAAGAACCCCUGAUGCCGUCGAGCCAAGAAAAGUUUCUAAGUUUAGCUAAUGUUGCCCGUACCGUAAACCGACACAGGUGGGUGGGAUGAGUAUUCUAAGGCGCGUGGAAGAACUCUCUUUAAGGAACUCUGCAAAAUAGCACCGUAUCUUCGGUAUAAGGUGUGGUUAGCUUUGUAUUAGGAUUUACUCCGAAAGCAAGGAAACUUACAACAAAGAGUCCCUCCCGACUGUUUACCAAAAACACAGCACUCUGCUAACUCGUAAGAGGAUGUAUAGGGUGUGACGCCUGCCCGGUGCUCGAAGGUUAAUUGAUGGGGUUAGCAUUAGCGAAGCUCUUGAUCGAAGCCCGAGUAAACGGCGGCCGUAACUAUAACGGUCCUAAGGUAGCGAAAUUCCUUGUCGGUUAAAUACCGACCUGCAUGAAUGGCGUAACGAGAUGGGAGCUGUCUCAAAGAGGGAUCCAGUGAAAUUGUAGUGGAGGUGAAAAUUCCUCCUACCCGCGGCAAGACGGAAAGACCCCGUGGACCUUUACUACAGCUUGACACUGCUACUUGGAUAAGAAUGUGCAGGAUAGGUGGGAGGCUUUGAGUAUAUGACGCCAGUUGUAUAUGAGCCAUUGUUGAGAUACCACUCUUUCUUAUUUGGGUAGCUAACCAGCUUGAGUUAUCCUCAAGUGGGACAAUGUCUGGUGGGUAGUUUGACUGGGGCGGUCGCCUCCCAAAUAAUAA
rnacentral:rRNA from 1 species